AAUUUUGCACAGUGGCAGUAUCAUAGCCAAUGAGGUUUAUCCGAGGUGCGAUUAUUGCUAAUUGAAAAACAGAUUGAUAAA
ensembl:snRNA U4 U4 spliceosomal RNA